UCAUGUUCUCUUCAGGGCUACAUCAACACCUGCAGGAUGCUGCUGGGUAGGUCAGGAUGCUGUGCUGCAGUGAGGGAUGCAGCAGGUCAGGAUGCUGUGCUGCAGUGAGGGAUGCAGCAGGUCAGGAUGCUGUGCUGCAGUGAGGGAUGCAGCAGGUCAGGAUGCUGUGCUGCAGUGAGGGAUGCAGCAGGUCAGGAUGCUGUGCUGCAGUGAGGGAUGCAGCAGGUCAGGAUGCUGUGCUUCAAUGAGGGAUGCAGCAGCCCAGGAUGUUAUUUAUGAUGCAGUGAGGGAUGCAUCAGACCAGGAUGCUGUGAUGCAGUGAGGGAUGCAACAGGCUAGGAUUCUGUGAUACAGUGAGGGAUGCAACAGGUCAGGAUACUGUGCUGCAGUGAGGGAUGCAGCAGGCCAAGAUGCUGUGCUGCAGUGAGGGAUGCAGCAGGCCAGGAUGCUGUGAUGCAGUAAGAAAUGCAGCAGGCCAGGAUGCUGUGAUACAGUGAGGGAUGCAACAGGCCAAGAUGCCGUGCUGCAGUGAGGGAUGCAGCAGGCCAAGAUGCCGUGCUGCAGUGAGGGAUGCAGCAGGCCAGGAUGCUGUGAUGCAGUAAGAAAUGCAGCAGGCCAGGACGCUGUGAUGCAGUGAGAAAUGCAGCAGACCAGGACGCUGUGCUGCAGUGAGAGAGGCAGCGGGCUAGGAUGCUGUGCUGCAGUGAGGGAUGCAGCGGGCUAGGAUGCUGUGCUGCAGUGAGGGAUGCAGCAGGUCAGGAUGCUGUGCUGCAGUGAGGGAUGCAGCAGGUCAGGAUGCUGUGCUGCAGUGAGGGAUGCAGCAGGUCAGGAUGCUGUGCUGCAGUGAGGGAUGCAGCAGGCUAGGAUGCUGUGCUGCAGUGAGGGAUGCAGCAGGCUAGGAUGCUGUGCUACAGUGAGGGAUGCAGCAGCCCAGGAUGCUGUGAUGCAGUGAGGGAUGCAGCAGACCAGGAUGCUGUGAUGCAGUGAGGGAUGCAGCAGGCUAGGAUGCUGUGCUGCAGUGAGGGAUGCAGCAGCCCAGGAUGCUGUGCUGCAGUGAGGGAUGCAGCAGGUCAGGAUGCUGUGCUACAGUGAGGGAUGCAGCAGCCCAGUAUGUUUGUGAUGCAGUGAUGGAUGCAGCAGGUCAGGAUGCUGUGCUACAGUGAGGGAUGCAGCAGGCCAGGAUGCUGUGCUGCAGUGAGGGAUGCAGCAGGCCAGGAUGCUGUGCUGCAGUGAGGGAUGCAGCAGGCUAGGAUGCUGUGCUGCAGUGAGGGAUGCAGCAGGCUAGGAUGCUGUGCUGCAGUGAGGGAUGCAGCAGGUCAGGAUGCUGUGCUACAGUGAGGGAUGCAGCAGCCCAGUAUGUUUGUGAUGCAGUGAUGGAUGCAGCAGGCCAGGAUGCUGUGCUACAGUGAUGGAUGCAGCAGCCCAGGAUGCUGUGCUACAGUGAGGGAUGCAGCAGCCCAGGAUGCUGUGCUGCAGUGAAGGAUACAGCAGGCCAGGAUGCUGUGCUGCAGUGAGGGAUGCAGCAGGUCAAGAUGCUGUGCUACAGUGAGGGAUACAGCAGGCCAGGAUGCUGUGCUGCAAUGAGGGAUACAGCAGGCCAGGAUGCUGUGCUGCAGUGAGGGAUGCAGCAGGUCAGGAUGCUGUGCUGCAGUGAGGGAUGCAGCAGGCCGGGAUGCUGUGAUGCAGUGGGGAAUGCAGUAGCCUAGGAUGCUAUCUAUGAUGCAGUGAGGGAUGCAGCAGGCCAGGAUGCUGUGCUGCAGUGGGGGAUGCAGCAGGCCAGGAUGCUGUGCUACAGUGGGGGAUGCAGCAGGCCAGGAUACUGUGCUACAGUGGGGAAUGCAGUAGCCUAGGAUGCUAUCUAUGAUGCAGUGAGGGAUGCAGCAGGCCAGGAUGCUGUGAUGCAUCCUGUGCUCUGCCCCAU